AAACAACCGUGGGGGCGCUCCAUUUAUUAUGGUGCUGAGAGAGACCCUUCGUACCUGAUCCGGAUAAUACCGGCGUAGGGAAACGGAAAAAUAUAUCCU
rnacentral:ncRNA from 2 species